rnacentral:rRNA from 1 species
UAGGGAAUCUUCGGCAAUGGACGAAAGUCUGACCGCGCAACGCCGCGUGAGUGAAGAAGGUUUUCGGAUCGUAACACUCUGUUGUUAGAGAAGAACAAGGACGUUAGUAACUGAACGUACCCUGACGGUAUCUAACCAGAAAGCCACGGCUAACUACGUGCCCGCAGCCGCGGUAAUACGUAGGUGGCAAGCGUUGUCCGGAUUUAUUGGGCGUAAGGCGAGUGCAGGCGGUUUCUUAAGUCUGAUGUGAAAGCCCCCGGCUCAACCGGGGAGGGUCAUUGGAAACUGGGAGACUUGAGUGCAGAAGGGGAGAAUGGAAUUCCAUGUGUAGCGGUGAAAUGCGUAGAUAUAUGGAGGAACACCAGGGGCGAAGGCGGCUCUCUGGUCUGUAACUGACGCUGAGGCUCGAAAGCGGGGGGAGCAAACAGG